rnacentral:rRNA from 1 species
AAUAGAUACCCUGGUAGUCCACGCCGUAAACGAUGGAUACUAGCUGUUUGACCGCAAGGUUGAGUGGCUAAGCGAAAGUGAUAAGUAUCCCACCUGGGGAGUACGAACGCAAGUUUGAAACUCAAAGGAAUUGACGGGGGGCCCGCACAAGCGGUGGAGCAUGUGGUUUAAUUCGAUGAUACGCGAGGAACCUUACCAGGGCUUAAAUGUAGUUUGACGUAUUUGGAAACAGAUAUUUCUUCGGACAAAUUACAAGGUGCUGCAUGGUUGUCGUCAGCUCGUGCCGUGAGGUGUCAGGUUAAGUCCUAUAACGAGCGCAACCCCUGUUGUUAGUUGCCAGCGAGUAAUGUCGGGAACUCUAACAAGACUGCCAGUGUAAACUGCGAGGAAGGUGGGGAUGACGUCAAAUCAUCACGGCCCUUACGUCCUGGGCCACACACGUGCUACAAUGGACGGUACAGAGAGCAGCCACUUAGCAAUAAGGAGCGAAUCUAUAAAAACCGUUCUCAGUUCGGAUCGGAGUCUGCAACUCGACUCCGU